rnacentral:lncRNA from 1 species
CUCUUCUAAGAGUUUUUCUAACCCCAGGAGAAGAGCCUGAUUGCUAUAUUACACCAGUAGAAGGUGAAGCACUCUGAUAUCUGUUUAAUCUCUGUAGCCAUGUAAGGCAAAGAAGACUGAGUUCUGUCUUCAUUUUACAGAUGUGAAAAUGGACAAGGAUUUGGAAAAGGCCUCGAGGUGUAUCUGUGCUGGAUAUAGAACUGAGUUAUUUCUGUCAGAUGUAUCCUCCUGGGUCUUUUUUGUUCAGGAGGUCCUCAAGUGCUGUGGAAAAAUAGAAGAGUGUCAAUAA